rnacentral:rRNA from 1 species
AGUGAACGCUGGCGGUAGGCCUAACACAUGCAAGUCGAACGGCAGCACAGGAGAGCUUGCUCUCUGGGUGGCGAGUGGCGGACGGGUGAGGAAUACAUCGGAAUCUACUCUGUCGUGGGGGAUAACGUAGGGAAACUUACGCUAAUACCGCAUACGACCUACGGGUGAAAGCAGGGGACCUUCUGGCCUUGCGUGAUUGAAUGAGCCGAUGUCGGAUUAGCUAGUUGGCGGGGUAAAGGCCCACCAAGGGGCCGAUCCGUAGCUGGUCUGAGAGGAUGAUCAGCCACACUGGAACUGAGACACGGUCCAGACUCCUACGGGAGGCAGCAGUGGGGAAUAUUGGACAAUGGGCGCAAGCCUGAUCCAGCCAUACCGCGUGGGUGAAGAAGGCCUUCGGGUUGUAAAGCCCUUUUGUUGGGAAAGAAAUCCAGCUGGCUAAUACCCGGUUGGGAUGACGGUACCCAAAGAAUAAGCACCGGCUAACUUCGUGCCAGCAGCCGCCGUAA